UGAGAAUCAACUGAACAUACCUUGUUCUUGGCACCAGAUUGGUUCCCUCCUCUGUCAGAGGAGAUUUCUCUCCUGUGUUACAUAUGUCCUUAGGUAUGUAUGUAUUCUUAUUAAAGAUAUUGAGUACCUCUGUGGUUUUUUUUUUUUUUGGUACCGGGGAUUGAACUCAGGUCCUUCCGCUUGCGUGGCAGGUGCUGGAACCACUGAGCUACAUCCCCGGCCCCUACUUCUGUGUUUUUGACUUGCAUAAGUGGAACUAUGCUAUAAAUUUCAUUCAUUUUUCAUUCAGCACUUUCAGACAUUCAUGAAAAUUGACAGACUUUUUCUCAACAUUUUAUUUGUGAGAUUCAUGCUGUUACAGGUUUAUCCAGAUGCAUGGCUAUGGCUGCUGCUUUGUAGGGCUGGUCAGAUAAGUAUCUACUAUAUAUUUUUUUUUUUGUACUAGGGACCAAACUCAGGACCUUGUGCUUGUGAGGCAGGCGGUGGAACCACUGAGCUAAAUUCCCGGCCGUCUACUACAUUUUCUUACCCAUUUUCCAAGUGCUGGAUGCUUAUCUCCACAGAUGUUUCUUGCUUAUUCUAGAUAGAAACCUCAUCCUGUCACCUGCCUAUUAACUUUGUCAAUGGUAGGUAACUUAAAAUUUUUAUUUAAUUUUCUAAAGUCCAGAUCUAUUAAAUUUUUGCCUUAUGUUGCAGUUUAACAAUCUUAAUAUGAUCUUUCUCACCCUAGCAGUACAAAGAUAAUCAAUAUUCUGUCAUCUUUCUCAUUUUACUGUUCACAUUGAGGGCUUUAAUCUCUUUGACAUUCAUCUUCAUAUUUGGCAUAAGGAAGAUAUACAGCUUAAUUUUUUCCUUAAUGUUUUGUGAGAUACUUUUCCCAUAUCAUCCAUUAAAUAGUGUGUUGUUCCUUCAUAUUUUUUUUGGAGCAAUUUUUCUCAUACAUAAGGUUCUCGUAUAUACAUAUGAGUCUGCUUUUUUAACUGAGUUAUGUGUAUAAACCAAAUACAUUUAAAGCGUGUAAUUUGAUUAUUUUUGACAGGUGUGCAUUCCUGGGAAAGCACCAUAGUCAAAAUACAGAGCAUUUCUAUCACCUCCGAGCUACUCUUGGGCCCCUUUGUAGUCCAUCUCCUCCUUUAAUCCUCAGACUGAAUCAACUACUGUAGUUUCUAGAAAUUUAUAUUAUACAGUAUGUGUGUGGUUCCUUUCACUCAGCAUGAUUUUAAAAUAAUUUUCUUUCUAAUUGUGCUAAAAUAUACAGAACAAAAUUUAUAAUGUAACCAUUUUUAAGUGUAUAAUUCAGUGAUAUUAUGUACAUUCAUACUGUUGUGCAGUCAUCAACAUUAUGUAUCCCCAGGACAUUGUUAUUAUCCCAAACUGAAACUGAUCCCGUUAAGCUCAACCUGCUGAAUUUGAGAUUCUUCUUGAAGGUCUGUUUUUUGUUUGUUUUUGUCCUCUGUUUUGUUCCAGUCCUCUGUCUGAUUCAGUGCCAAAUUCUUAUUUCUUUAUUAUAGCUUUGCAGCCUGUUUAUAUGGCUGGAUGAGCCCCACUUUAGCUCUUUGUCAAACCUUGGCUUGAGUAUGCAUGGCUCUUUGUUAUUCUGGGUAUAUUUUGGAUUGCCUGUUAAGUUCUCAAGGCAGUCUAGGAAACGUGAUUGGCAUUGCAUUGGAUUUGUCUCACAUGGGCUGAACUAACAUCUUUUUCCUCUUGAGAUUAUAAUUUUAUCCAUGAAUAUAGUCUCCUGUCUUUUAAAAUAACUUAUACAGUUUACAGUUUUCUCUGUCCUAUCGUUAGUUUGGGUUUUGGGGAUUGAAUACAAGGUCACAAGGUUUUGUGGAUGCUAAGUACAUGCUCUGCCACUGAGUUACACCCCCGGCUUAUAAUAUAUUUUUAAAUAAAAGUAAUGUGUUAUUUUAGGGAGAAUUUAAGGUAGGGAGAGCAGGGGCUUUUGGGUUAGGUCUUCAAAAUAUCUUCACACAUUAACCUUGAGUGACAUUGGUCAGGUUACUCCCCCUUGUGGCUCCAGUUCCUCCUUCCUCAAAGUAGGACAACAGCACCUCCCUUGUGAGGAAGCCGCCCAGGGGUUUAGAAGGGAUAAUGUUGGAGACACUUGGAGUACAGACCUUGAAACAGUGCUGCUCUGUGAAUGUUGAUGUCAUGCCUCCCCUAACACUGGCUUUAAAUAGCAUACACUUCAUAUUUUUAUCUGCUUCUAAGGACUGAUAACAACUAUCAGAAAAGCAAACUGAAUGAGCCAACCAGUUCACAGUGUAACACUCUCCAAAGCUACAUAUGCAUAUCGAUGCUUCUGCCUAGUUUCAUUGGAUUUUUCAGAAAAUAUGGAUACUUCCAAAGAAUUUUACACUCUAGUGGGGAGGAAUAUACAACUAAUAUACAAGGAACAAUUAGAGAACUUUAUCUGACAGAUGGUAUAUAAUUAGGGUUAAGUGGUGUAGUGCUAGGGGAGUUACAGGAAGAGAGGAAUCCUGCUCUGUGAGUUUUCAUUUGACUUGAGUGAAAUGAGAUCAGAGAGGAGAGAAAAGGGAGGAGAAACCAAAUAUAAUGAACAUUAUGUCAGAAGCUUGAGGGCCCAGUGUUGAACCCCAUGGCAGUAGAUUUUGUGCUGGGAUGUAGGUGUCUUAAAAGCACUGUCUUUGGAGCUACAGUCCUUGGGUUUGGAUCUUGGCCUCACCACGUAGGAGUUGUAAAACCUUAGGCAGGUUAUAUAGACCUCCUGUGCCUCAGUUUCCUCACCUCUUCAGUGGUAUAUUAACAGCAGGUACCUUACAACUUUGUUGUGAGAAUUAUGUAAGUUAGCAUUUGUAAGGCACGGAAUGCCUGGCACAAGUUGUAACAUCAGGUUUAUAUCACUGUGACAGUAUACCUGAGAUACUUUUUUUUUUUUGAGACAAGGUCUCACUCUGUAGUUCAGGCUGGUCUUGAACUCCCUGUGUAACUAUAGUGGCUCUAACUUGUGUCAGUCCUCCUACCUUAGCCUUCCCAAUUCUGGUAUUACAGGGUGCACCACCACGCCUGGCUUGAUACAUCCUUUAAGGAAGAAAUAUGUAUUUUGGCUUAUGGUUUCAGAGGUUUCAGUCCAGGGUUCUUGGCGUGUGUUGAGGCAGUACAUCAUGGCAGGAUUGUAUAAGGGAAGAAGUUGCUCACCUAAUGGUAGUUGGGAUGCAAAAGAGACAGUAAGGGUUCAGGCUCCCAAUGUCCCCUUCAAGGCCAUACUCCCAAUAACCACCUUCCUACCAGUAGGCCCUCCCUCCUAAAGAUUCUACUUCUUCAUGAUAGCAACACAGGCUGGUAGCCAAGCCUUUGACAUACAGGCUUUUGGGGGUCAUUCAUGAUUCCAAGUAUAGCACAAGGUAAGCAUACUAUAGAUGUUAGCUAUUAUUAUGACUUCUUUUGUAUAUAUUUACUGCAUUCUUCCUGUAUCUCUCUUGAAGUGUUUGAGGCUUUAUGCCCCAGAGUUAUUGGCUUUUGUUCAGAGACUUGGUUGGGGACUAUACAGUCCAAUAGUCUGCACAUUUGUGGGUGUGCAGUGGACACUCAGGAUGAAGACUGAACAAGUAAAUACUUGAUGACAGUGGAGUCAGGUGCCAUCUCUGUCAUUCUGAUAUCUUCAGAGCUCUGGAAUGGAGUGGGUAGCAAAAGUCAGGUGGCAAGUGUACAAGAAGUAAGUUUUAUUUUGCAGUAUUCUUAUUAGACCUUUCAGUAGCAGUAUAGUAAAUUAUAGGGAUUCACAUACAUGACAGACACUUUUUAAGUCCUUAGUCUUUAUGAGAUAGGUGAUAUUAUCUCUUUUAGAGACAAGAGAGUGAGGCACAAGUAAUUUGUCUAGGAAAGUAGAAGAAAUGCCCUCAAAGAGGUUAGUGUUUGGGGCCCUUGCCAGUUGGCAAAAACAAGUAGGUACUGUUGGUGAGGAGCCACUAUGGUCACAUAAAGAGCUGUGAAACACAGGUUAGCCCAGCUGUGUGUUCCCAUGACCUUGAAUGUUUAUCAGCCUAAGCCAGUAGUUCUCAAAUUUCAGUGUGUAUUAGAAUCACCUGGAAGUCUGGUUCUAGCACCCAAUGCCAGGCCCCAACCCCCAGAGCUAGUGAGGCAUGUAGCUUGGGGCAGGUGGUGGCUGGUAGUUUACAUGUUAACACAUUCCCAGGUGCUGCUGUUGCUGGUCUGGGGAAACACUUUGAGAACCACUGCUACCAGGAAUAGUGUUCCUCUUCUAGUUACAGUCAGGUGAGGUGAGUUCAGAUGUGCUUUCUAGCCCGUGAAACAGGGUCCUGUUCACCCAGAAUGCAGAACAGCUUCUGACCCAGUACAGAGCAAAAACUUGCUGCCUGGCUUGCCACUGUUUAAUAUGGCUCAGGAACUGUUAUAACCCAGAGUAGAGAGAAAACUGAAAAUGUAAGUCUAGAUUCAUCAGCAGCAUAACAUGCCAUGAAUGCAUCCCAUCAGGAAGGUGACAUGACUUAUUUUCAUUUUGUUGCUUUUCAUCUUCCCUCCCAUAGGGCAAAGAGGGUAGGAUAGGCUUUUUGCCCACCAUUUUAUUGCCAUGGCAAAAUUGUGGGACCAAGAAAUUAACAAUGUUCAGAUACAUAGCCUGACAGUGGAGAAGCAGAAGAUAAUCUUACUUGACUGGUUUAAUUGUAGUGGAAAGCUGUGUUUAUAGGACAGAGAAAGCUUGGUACCUCUCUCUAGCAGCUGUAGGUAGGAUAGCUACCAUGUACAAAGCUUAGUGCAGUACUGUACUGACACACCCCAAGUCCUCAAGAAAUGUGAAUGGCCGUGAUUAUUAUAGCGUGCUUGGUGUUUGCCGUUCAGAUUUCAUUUUAGCUGAAUGAUGUUAUAUAUAAAACCAUGGAAUUAAGGAACUUUUAUAAUUGAGAGGUUUGUAAGAUCCUGCAUUUUAGAUUAACUCAAAGAAUAACAGUACAAGUAAAUGGUAUUUGGGGAGAAACUCCAGCCCAGAUUUUUCCCUUCACUAUCUGUCAGAGUUGUCUUGUGACUCUGGCAGCCUAUAAAAGCUUGUUUGCCUGGGCAGAGGAUGCAGCAGGGCAGAGAGAGGAGAUUGUCAGGGAAGACUGAGGAGGCUGUAAAAACCUGGAUAAGGAUGAGAGACUCUCAGGCCCAGGCUUUUUUUUUUUUUUAAUAACAGGAGCAUCCAGCAGUGAUAAAUGUGAGAGUGGGCCAUCUGCUAGGUGCCCUGUGAGCUUUGGGAUCUGGGCCCUUGAGGGUUCAGUGGUAGAGCCAGAUGUCC
ensembl:lncRNA